UCUUUUCCUUUUUUUCCAGCCGCCGCGGUAAAACGUAGGUCACAAGCGUUGUCCGGAAUUACUGGGUGUAAAGGGAGCGCAGGCGGGAGAACAAGUUGGAAGUGAAAUCCAUGGGCUCAACCCAUGAACUGCUUUCAAAACUGUUUUUCUUGAGUAGUGCAGAGGUAGGCGGAAUUCCCGGUGUAGCGGUGGAAUGCGUAGAUAUCGGGAGGAACACCAGUGGCGAAGGCGGCCUACUGGGCACCAACUGACGCUGAGGCUCGAAAGUGUGGGUAGCAAACAGG
rnacentral:rRNA from 1 species